AGUGAACGCUGGCGGUAGGCCUAACACAUGCAAGUCGAACGGCAGCACAAGAGAGCUUGCUCUCUGGGUGGCGAGUGGCGGACGGGUGAGGAGUACAUCGGAAUCUACUCUGUCGUGGGGGAUAACGUAGGGAAACUUACGCUAAUACCGCAUACGACCUACGGGUGAAAGCAGGGGACCUUCGGGCCUUGCGCGAUUGAAUGAGCCGAUGUCGGAUUAGCUAGUUGGCGGGGUAAAGGCCCACCAAGGCGACGAUCCGUAGCUGGUCUGAGAGGAUGAUCAGCAACACUGGAACUGAGACACGGUCCAGACUCCUACGGGAGGCAGCAGUGGGGAAUAUUGGACAAUGGGCGCAAGCCUGAUUCAGCCAUACCGCGUGGGUGAAGAAGGCCUUCGGGUUGUAAAGCCCUUUUGUUGGGAAAGAAAUCCAGCUGGCUAAUACCCGGUUGGGAUGACGGUACCCAAAGAAUAAGCACCGGCUAACUUCGUGCCAGCAGCCGCCGUAA
rnacentral:rRNA from 1 species